UACGUAGGGGCUAGCGUUGUCCGGAAUCAUUGGGCGUAAAGCGCGUGUAGGCGGCCCGGUAAGUCCGCUGUGAAAGUCGGGGCUCAACCCUCGGAUGCCGGUGGAUACUGUCGGGCUCGAGUACGGAAGAGGCGAGUGGAAUUCCUGGUGUAGCGGUGAAAUGCGCAGAGUAUCAGGAGGAACACCUAUUGCGAAGGCAGC
rnacentral:rRNA from 1 species